GAGGCGCUUGGGAGGACUCCCCCAGUUCUGUUAAGAGCUGGGCACAAAGAGCCCUUUGCACUCCAGCCGCAGGAGCGAGGAGGAGCCGAGCUAGAUGCACAUGGGCGUGGGGACUCCGGUACAACACCAACCCACAAGGUUAGCAGACCUGGGGCGUCCAGCGCAGCCUCAAACCCAGGGCAUCUCUGCACUCUCAUCGCGACGUCGCUCUGGAUGCUGUUUGCAUAUCCUUGGGGAGUCACUGCUUUGGCACAACAGUCCUGCGAGGUGGAUCUUACUAUGUUUCCAGGAUGGCCUGGAACUCACAGAGUUCUGCAUCUGCCUUCUAAGCACUGGGAUUAAAAGAAUGCUUAUAAUCACCCACUGUACCUGGCUGGAAUUCCGUCUGUUCUCAUCACACGGACAUGGCUGAUCUGUCUCAGUGGUACCUGGGGGCAAAGCAGGGAGCCGGGCGGUGGAGGCCAACAUUGUUACCAAGUUGGCUCUGUCUCAACACAGGGACUGAGCCUUCUGAGCCUCAAGCUUUCUCUCUACACUAUGAGACUGAAUCAGCCUGACUCUGGAACUAGGGUUCCCUGGAAACCUCCACUGUCCUCACAAUGACCAGGAUUCAGUGCACGCUGUGACGGGGUCACUGUGGGUUUGUUCACAGAGUUCCUGCUGGUUCCCAGGUGGUGGA
rnacentral:sRNA from 1 species